rnacentral:rRNA from 1 species
AUACGGAGGGUGCAAGCGUUACUCGGAAUCACUGGGCGUAAAGCGCGCGCAGGCGGUCUUUUAAGUUGGAUGUGAAAGCCUACGGCUCAACCGUAGAACUGCAUCCAAAACUGUCAGUCUAGAGUGUGGGAGAGGAAGAUGGAAUUAGUUGUGUAGGGGUAAAAUCCGUAGAGAUAACUAGGAAUACCAAAAGCGAAGGCAAUCUUCUGGAACACUACUGACGCUGAGGCGCGAAGGCGUGGGGAGCAAACAGGAUUAGAAACCCCUGUAGUCC